rnacentral:rRNA from 1 species
UACGUAGGGUGCGAGCGUUAAUCGGAAUUACUGGGCGUAAAGCGUGCGCAGGCGGUUUUGUAAGCCAGAUGUGAAAUCCCCGGGCUUAACCUGGGAAUGGCAUUUGGGACUGCAAGGCUUGAGUGCGGCAGAGGAGACUGGAAUUCCCGGUGUAGCAGUGAAAUGCGUAAAUAUCGGGAGGAAUACCGAUGGCGAAGGCAGGUCUCUGGGCUGACACUGACGCUCAUGCACGAAAGCGUGGGGAGCAAACAGG